ACUCCUGCGGGAGGCAGCAGUGGGGAAUAUUGCACAAUGGGCGCAAGCCUGAUGCAGCGACGCCGCGUGGGGGAUGAAGGCCUUCGGGUUGUAAACUCCUUUCGCUAGGGACGAAGCUUUUUUGUGACGGUACCUAGAUAAGAAGCACCGGCUAACUACGUGCCAGCAGCCGCGGUAAUACGUAGGGUGCGAGCGUUGUCCGGAAUUACUGGGCGUCAAGGGCUCGUAGGUGGUUUGUCGCGUCGUCUGUGAAAUUCUGGGGCUUAACUCCGGGCGUGCAGGCGAUACGGGCAUAACUUGAGUGCUGUAGGGGUAACUGGAAUUCCUGGUGUAGCGGUGAAAUGCGCAGAUAUCAGGAGGAACACCGAUGGCGAAGGCAGGUUACUGGGCAGUUACUGACGCUGAGGAGCGAAAGCAUGGGUAGCGAACAGGAUUAGAUACCCGAGUAGUCCC
rnacentral:rRNA from 1 species